rnacentral:rRNA from 1 species
AUGGAGCAGCAGCACCGGCCGGACUCCGAGGCUCCGCUGCUGGCCGCCUCGAAGCCCGAUGGCGCCGCGUCUUCGUCGCCGCCCCGCAACAGGUUCCCCUUCUUCUGUGCCGUGCUCGCCUCCAUGACCUCCGUCCUCAUGGGCUACAACGUGGCGGUGAUGAGCGGGGCGCAGAUCUUCAUGGCGGAAGACCUCGGGGUGAGCGACACGCAGAUCGAGCUGCUCUCCGGUGCCAUCAACAUCUACUCGCUCGUCGGCGCGCUGCUCGCCGGCUGGACCUCCGACCGCCUCGGUCGCCGCCUCACCAUUGUGCUCACCAACGGCUUCUUCCUCGUUGGCCCGCUUAUCAUGACGCUCGCCGGCGGGUACACGGCGCUCAUGGCGGGGCGCUUCAUCUCUGGAAUCGGCGUCGGCUACGCGCUCGUAAUCGCGCCGAUCUACGCUGCCGAGAUCGCGCCGGCCUCCUCCCGCGGCCUUCUCAGCUCCCUUCCCGAGGUCAGCGCUGCAGAGUUUCCCCUUCGUCGUAUGAUGCUUCAGAGUUGUCUCAUAAUUGUGUUCCUUUCUUUUGUAAAGAUUUUUAUCAACACCGGGGUGAUGCUGAGCUACGUCUCCAACUUCGCCUUCUCGGCGUUGCCAGCGCACCUGGCGUGGCGGCUGAUGUUCGCGGCCGGGGUUGUGCCCACCGUGUUUCUGGCGGCUGGCGUGCUCACCAUGCCGGAGUCGCCGCGGUGGCUGGCGAUGAAGGGCCGGCUGGACGAGGCGAAAGCCGUGCUCGACAGGACGUCGGACACGCUCGCGGAGGCCGAGCAGCGUCUGCGGGAGAUCGAGGAGGUUGUCGACGCCGGCAGCAACGGCGCCGGCGGGAGCAACGGCGGUGGCGGCACGUGGAAUGAGGUGGCAACCAAGGCCGGCGUCAGGCGCGUGCUGGCCACAGUUCUGGCGCUACAAUUCUUCCAGCAGGCGUCGGGCAUCGACUCCGUGGUGCUCUACGGCCCGCGCGUGCUCGCCAUGGCCGGCGUCACAUCCAACACCCUCCUCCUGGGCCUCAACGUCCUCUUCGGCGUGGCCAAGGCGGGCUCGAUCCUGAUAGCCAUGGCGCUCGCCGACCGCGUCGGUCGGCGCCCUCUGCUCUUGGUGAGCACCGGCGGCAUGACGGCGUCGCUGCUUGUGCUGGGCUCCGUGUUCGCUGCUUUCGCCGGCGCCAAGGACGACGCGGCGGUGGCCGCCGUGGCCGUGGCGGCUGUGGUGGCGUUCGUCUGCACCUUUUCCGUCGGGUUCGGGCCUAUGGCAUGGGUGUACAGCUCGGAGAUCCUACCUCUGCGGCUGCGCGGACAGGGCGCCGGGCUCGGCACCGCCAUGAACCGCGUCAUGAGCGGCAUCGUCACCAUGACCUUCAUCUCGCUCUACGGGGCCAUCACCAUGGCCGGCGCAUUCUACCUUUAUGCCGCCGUCGCGGCUGCCUCGUUCGUGUUCAUCUACACCUGCCUGCCGGAGACCAGGGGCCGAAACCUCGAGGACAUGGAGCAGCUUUUCCGCACAAAGUGA